AGAGCGAACGCUGGCGGCAGGCCUAACACAUGCAAGUCGAGCGCCCCGCAAGGGGAGCGGCAGACGGGAGAGUAACACGUGGGAACGUACCCUUCAGUUCGGAACAACCCAGGGAAACUUGGGCUAAUACCGGAUACGUCCGUAAGGAGAAAGAUUUAUCGCUGAAGGAUCGGCCCGCGUCUGAUUAGCUUGUUGGUGAGGUAACGGCUCACCAAGGCUACGAUCAGUAGCUGGUCUGAGAGGAUGAUCAGCCUCACUGGGACUGAGACACGGCCCAGACUCCUACGGGAGGCAGCAGUGGGGAAUAUUGGACAAUGGGCGCAAGCCUGAUCCAGCCAUGCCGCGUGGGUGAUGAAGGCCCUAGGGUUGUAAAGCCCUUUCGGCGGGGAAGAUAAUGACGGUACCGCAGAAGAAGCCCGGCUAACUCGUGCCAGCAGCCGC
rnacentral:rRNA from 1 species